CGGGUGCGCUUCCAUUCAUUUGUCCAACAGAGGUUUAUUAGGCUCCUAAAGCGUGCUGGGCACCCGGAAGACAAACGACCAGGUCCUGUCCUCAUGGAGUUUCCCUUCUAGUGCAGAAACGCAGUAAACAAAUGAGGACGUCAAGGCAUGGAGGUUCAGCAACUUGCCCAGGAGGAGUGAGAGGCUGGAGAAGAGGACUUGGAUGAAGGGGACCAGAGCGGCGGGAAGCCAGCUCCGUACAGGAUGCGUACAGGAUGACCUGACACCCCACUUCUGACACCUGGCAGCGGCGUGAAGCACGGCCAUCAAGAGAAACCAGUGAAGAAAUGAAUGGAAUAAAUGAAGGGCGAUCUGAAGUCACCAGGUGUUGACGUGGGAGGGCCAGCUUGUGCACAGGAUUUGUCGAAACCCAUGCAGACCUGGCAGCUCAGCACUGGCCUGGAUGGGGGCUAGGGAGGUCCCCAAGUCAGCCGCCCUGCAUCUCUGCAACCUGGAGAGGGGGCAGUCAUCGGGCCUGACCCUUGCCCCAGGAGGGGGCCCCUCCAGCCUCAGGCUGGAGAACUUGGGAACAGCUGCCUGCUCAGUUGAGGGUCUCAGUGAACAGGGUAGAUGCUGGCAGGUUUGGGGGCAGAGGAAGACCAUCGCUUUCACCCUUCUCCCCCACCCCCCCAGAAGCAAGAACCCCCUUGGUUCUUCAUUCCUGACUGUGAGCAACUGGGGGUGCAUUCUUGGUCCCCGUCUCUGUUCCCGGCACGUAAAAGGUGC